UGCAGUCGAGCGAAUCUUUGGGAGCUUGCUCCCAUUGGUUAGCGGCGGACGGGUGAGUAACACGUGGGCAACCUGCCUGUAAGACUGGGAUAACUUCGGGAAACCGGAGCUAAUACCGGAUAAUCCAUUUCCUCUCAUGAGGAAAUGCUGAAAGUCGGUUUCGGCUGACACUUACAGAUGGGCCCGCGGCGCAUUAGCUAGUUGGUGAGGUAACGGCUCACCAAGGCGACGAUGCGUAGCCGACCUGAGAGGGUGAUCGGCCACACUGGGACUGAGACACGGCCCAGACUCCUACGGGAGGCAGCAGUAGGGAAUCUUCCACAAUGGACGAAAGUCUGAUGGAGCAACGCCGCGUGAGCGAUGAAGGCCUUCGGGUCGUAAAGCUCUGUUGUUAGGGAAGAACAAGUACCGGAGUAACUGCCGGUACCUUGACGGUACCUAACCAGAAAGCCACGGCUAACUACGUGCCAGCAGCCGCGGUAAUACGUAGGUGGCAAGCGUUGUCCGGAAUUAUUGGGCGUAAAGCGCGCGCAGGCGGUCCUUUAAGUCUGAUGUGAAAGCCCACGGCUCAACCGUGGAGGGUCAUUGGAAACUGGGGGACUUGAGUGCAGAAGAGGAAAGCGGAAUUCCACGUGUAGCGGUGAAAUGCGUAGAGAUGUGGAGGAACACCAGUGGCGAAGGCGGCUUUCUGGUCUGUAACUGACGCUGAGGCGCGAAAGCGUGGGG
rnacentral:rRNA from 1 species